AGUGAACGCUGGCGGUAGGCCUAACACAUGCAAGUCGAACGGCAGCACAGUAAGAGCUUGCUCUUACGGGUGGCGAGUGGCGGACGGGUGAGGAAUACAUCGGAAUCUACUUUUUCGUGGGGGAUAACGUAGGGAAACUUACGCUAAUACCGCAUACGACCUACGGGUGAAAGCAGGGGAUCUUCGGACCUUGCGCGAUUGAAUGAGCCGAUGUCGGAUUCGCUAGUUGGCGGGGUAAAGGCCCACCAAGGCGACGAUCCGUAGCUGGUCUGAGAGGAUGAUCAGCCACACUGGAACUGAGACACGGUCCAGACUCCGACGGGAGGCAGCAGUGGGGAAUAUUGGACAAUGGGCGCAAGCCUGAUCCAGCCAUACCGCGUGGGUGAAGAAGGCCUUCGGGUUGUAAAGCCCUUUUGUUGGGAAAGAAAAGCAGCAGGUUAAUACCCCGCUGUUCUGACGGUACCCAAAGAAUAAGCACCGGCUAACUUCGUG
rnacentral:rRNA from 1 species